UACGUAGGUGGCGAGCGUUGUCCGGAUUUAUUGGGUUAAAGGGUGCGUAGGCGGUCCUAUAAGUCAGUGGUGAAAUAUCUCAGCUCAACUGAGAGGGUGCCAUUGAUACUGGUAGGACUCGAGUGAAUUUGAGGUAGGCGGAAUUGACGGUGUAGCGGUGAAAUGCUUAGAUAUCGUCAAGAACACCGAUAGUGAAGACAGCUUACCAGCUCAACUGACGCUGAGGCACGAAAGUGUGGGGAGCGAACAGG
rnacentral:rRNA from 1 species